AGGGAAAAAAUAUCUAUUAUUGGAAGAGGACCCACCACACAGUCUAUUAGAUAUGUCACAAGUCAUGAUUUUUUGCGUGGACCCACCACAUAGUCUAUUAGAUAUGUCACAAGUCAUGAUUUUUAGCAUGAAAAUCACAUGCUUCGUGGCCACCGGCGCUCAAAAGUCACACGAUUUUUUGCGUGAAAAUCACACACUUCGUGGCCACCGACGCUCGAACCCACAGCUUCCUACUUCACGUCUUCAGCCCCUAACCAAUCCACCUCU
rnacentral:lncRNA from 1 species